AGAGUUUGAUCAUGGCUCAGAACGAACGCUGGCGGCGUGGAUAAGACAUGCAAGUCGAACGGAUUAUCUGGUGUAGCAAUACAUCAGGUAGUUAGUGGCGUAAGGGUGCGUAACACGUGGGCAACCUGCCCUUGAGUUGGGGAUAGCCCGCCGAAAGGCGGAUUAAUACCGAAUGUGGCGAGGGAAGACAUCUUCCUGUAGCUAAAGCCGGGGCAACCUGGCGCUCUUGGAUGGGCCCGCGGCCUAUCAGCUAGUUGGUGAGGUAACGGCUCACCAAGGCUAUGACGGGUAGCUGGUCUGAGAGGACGACCAGCCACACUGGAACUGAGACACGGUCCAGACACCUACGGGUGGCAGCAGUCGAGAAUUUUUCUCAAUGGGGGAAACCCUGAAGGAGCGACGCCGCGUGGAGGAUGAAGGUCUUCGGAUUGUAAACUCCUGUCAUUGGUGAACAAGACCCUCGGAGUAACUGCCGUUGGGGUUGAUAGUAGCCGAAGAGGAAGAGACGGCUAACUCUGUGCCAGCAGCCGCGGUAAUACAGAGGUCUCAAGCGUUGUUCGGAUUCAUUGGGCGUAAAGGGUGCGUAGGUGGCGGGGUAAGUCUGGUGUGAAAUCCUGGGGCUCAACCCCGGAACUGCACUGGAUACUGCUUUGCUAGAGUACUGGAGAGGGAACUGGAAUUUACGGUGUAGCAGUGAAAUGCGUAGAUAUCGUAAGGAAGACCAGUGGCGAAGGCGAGUUCCUGGACAGUUACUGACACUGAGGCACGAAGGCCAGGGGAGCAAACGGGAUUAGAUACCCCAGUAGUCC
rnacentral:rRNA from 1 species